CAGCCGCCACGGGAAUACAGAGGGUGCGAGCGUUAAUCGGAUUUACUGGGCGUAAGGCGUGCGUAGGCGGCUUUUUAAGUCGGAUGUGAAAUCCCUGAGCUUAACUUAGGAAUUGCAUUCGAUACUGGGAAGCUAGAGUAUGGGAGAGGAUGGUAGAAUUCCAGGUGUAGCGGUGAAAUGCGUAGAGAUCUGGAGGAAUACCGAUGGCGAAGGCAGCCAUCUGGCCUAAUACUGACGCUGAGGUACGAAAGCAUGGGGAGCAAACAGGAUUAGAUACCCGCGUAGUCCCUGUCUCUUAUAU
rnacentral:rRNA from 1 species